AGUUUGUUUUCUUCCACGUCUGGGAACGAAAAGAGAAAGUCAUGGGAGUGUGGUUGCAUAGUUAGACUUAUAUAUUAAUGAUUCAUCUCCCGCCAUGACUAUUUAAGCUCUCAAAAGGCUAUCCCUCCCUCUCCCAGCAAUUUACUUACUUCGCAGCUCUCGGAAUUCCCUAGAAGAUCAUCUUCUUCUUCUUCCCCCCAUUGCAGAAACCGCCAUGGAUGAGGCUCUGACUAAACGGAACGUCACCUUCACGAAGCACCUCAAGCAGAAGCGCAAGCUCUAUCGCAAUGGCUUCCUCUCUCUCCACUCCUCCACCGCCAAGGCACAUUCCCUUUCUCUCACUACUGAUCUUUGCAAUUGAUGUCUUCUGCCUUUUGAUGUAGCUACCUUUCGCAUGUGCACUUAGAUUUAGGUAAAAUGAAAAUAAAUUUAUCUUGUUCAGGUGCGUCAUUGAAUUUACAAUAAGCUUUGUAAAGCUCGCAAAAUGGAUAUAUUGUUUCAUGGACCUGCUCUAGAAAGAGAAUGUCAUGCAAUUAAGCCGGGGAAUGGUUUUACUGUUUUUGAUGCACACACUUCAUUUUUCAUUUCCUUCAAAGUUUACUCUCAUGUUUAUUGUAGGAACCUAUGUUGUGGUACUUACUCCAGCUCGCAAAUGAUCUCUUGUUAUCCAAUUGAUGCAGCCUAUCAAAUAUUAUCUGUCCUCUGAAAACCAUUAGAUCAAGUUGCCGUUGCUGAAAAUUCAUAUGAAAGGAUGACAAAUUUUGCUUCACUAACAAAGGAGCUUCAGGAUGCAGAUAAGUUUUGUGAUGGUUUUCAAAGACAGAGCGCCCGCUGCUGAACUAGCUUCAGUGGAGGAUGUGGACACUGGAAAUCUAACUGAUACUACUGACAAUGAAAAGUGACCUGGCCUCAUGAAGUCUAAAGGUCGGUUUUAGUGCGAUUUCACUCACUUCAGCAUUCUUUUAAUGUCAGUGUGAACUUUCUUGCAAUAUAUGUUUUCUCAGCCAACAUUGUAAAACAUCAUCAGACUCAGCCUCUGAUUUCAAUGAAUCUCACAGUACGAGGGUCUUUGCAAUUGGCAACUCACAGAAAAGCUGAACUAAAAUUAGCAGCGGAUAGCAACUGCUUGCAGGGAAUUAUCAGACUGGAUGCAUGAGGACCUGCUGACUUCUCUAAUACAUCCCAGUCCAAAGUCUAGCUCUUUAUUUACCUUGAGGACAUUCUCAAUGUCACUGAGCUUUGCAUGACUAGCUUGUACAUCUGCUGCAAUUAACGUUUGCAGCCUUCUCAUGUACAAGCCGACCCCAAAUGCUGCAGCAGCAAUCUUGUUUCUGAAGCAUCUCUUUCACGUGACUCUCACGGUGAUGCUAAUAAUGAAAGGAUAACCCCUGAAGGACAUAGGGAUCCACUGGAAGUGGAGGCUGGGUGUCCUCGUUUUGAUCUUGGAUUUUGAACCAUGUCCAUUGCUUAAUCAACUAUAAUGUUACUGUCGAGAGUCUGGAUGGAGUGCACAAGAGUCUCAUGUCUAUCACCCACAAAAUCUGUAGGUGUGAGGUGUUUUUUUUAUGUUGAGUGUUCUAGUGCCAAGUUCAUUUGCAUCUCUCUGAUCCGAAAUGUUUUUAGUUAAACAACAAAAUCAAUGUAUUUCCAGUGAUCUUCAACAUAUUGAGGUACACUUAUGAUGCAAAGAAACUAUGAUACGGGUCUAUCCAGUUUCCUUUA